rfam:Gossypium raimondii Chr06_contig_271, whole genome shotgun sequence.
UGUUAAAAAUUCCAUCCAUUUGUAAUGUUAAAAACUGGCAUGGUUGACAAAAUAAUCAGAUAGUAAUAUGUGGCGUGCCACAUAUACCUCAUGCUUAUGUACAUGGACCAAUUUUUAAUCGUGGAAAUAGAUGAAACUUUUAACA